rnacentral:lncRNA from 1 species
UUUUGAUUGAGAAUGACUUGUUUAUACCUCCAAACUUUAACACCUGAUAUUUUUAUUAUCUAGAGCUCGUGAAUUAAUAAUUUGAUUUGCCAUCUUCAGAGAAAAAAAGAAGAUAUUCAAAACUUAAUCUUUUAUCUUCAAUUUUUAAAACAUAAUCCAUUGUACAGCAUUUUGGACCAUUAAGAGCUGGGCAAGACAACCAAACCGUGCAAUGGUGCUGAAAGUACCAUUAUUGUAAUCUGGACUUCUACAGUCCAUUUGAGGGUGUAGUUUUCCUCCCUAAGGGCGUUGUAACGGACAUAAAUUAAGGCUUAGAAAUAAGAACGUCACAACAACAGUGACGUUGUCUACAUAUAGAGAGGUAGCAGGAACACCUCUUGUGCAAUUCUUAACACCUCCAUAUACUCCAUCCACCAUCUAAAGCUGGUAUGACACAAGAUCCAAUAGUGUUGAAAAGUAAAAAGCAAUAUGAUUAUUGUAAUCAAGACUUCUCCAGUUCAUUUAAAGGAAUGUUACUGUGAUACAGGGUUUUCCAUCAUUAAGAGCUGGGCACGACAAAAGAACCAAUAAUAGUGAAAUUAGCAUUUUGGUAAUUUCGACCUUUCCAGUCUUGUUUAUGUCAGUUGAAAUCAUUUGAAAAACAAAAAUUUAUAAUGUGUUCCAAAGAA